rnacentral:rRNA from 1 species
UUGAAAAGCACUUUGAAAAGAGGGUGAAAAGAACCUGAAACCGUCACGGGGGAAGCGGAUUGCGUUGGAUUGGUGGGGUUUUGUGUGUUCAGCCCUUUUUUUAUUGGGUGCAUUGACAUGAGAUCUUAUUCGUCGUGGGUUUUUGAGGGUGGACUUUGCACCCUUGAAGACUGAGGGCUCCCUUCGGGUUGAGGACGACGAAGCGACGACGCGAUACGACCCGUCUUGAAACACGGACCAAGGAGUCUAGCGCGAUUGCGAGUCUAAGGGUGGAAAAACCUGGCGGCGCAGUGAAAGCGAGAUUGAAAACGAGCAGUUUGAGGCGGCAUAAAAUCGUUGAUUUUAAGUCCGACCUAGAGCAAUUGCGCUGGGACCCGAAAGAUGGUGAACUAUGCCGGAGUAGGGCGAAGCCAGAGGAAACUCUGGUGGAGGCUCGUAGCGGUGCUGACGUGCAAAUCGCUCGUCCAACUUGGGUAUAGGGGCGAAAGACUAAUCGAACCAUCUAGUAGCUGGUUCCCUCCGAAGUUUCUCUCAGGAUAGCGGGCCGACUUUGUGUUGUUCUGUGC